CUCAGCUUUCAGUUGAAAAUUUUAUCUGGAGCUCUCUGGUAGACCACGUAGGGACUGAAAAUCUCUAAAUAAAAAUUCACUUUUAAAUUUUUUAGUUUCCACCUAAAAUUUUCUAGUUUCUUUUUCCGUGAAGUUUAGCAUCAACGACAUAAUGUGCGGCGGUUUUGGAUGCGGUCCUUAUGGCUACGGACCUUCGGGGCCAUGCGGUCCCUGGUGUGGACCUUGGUGUGGCCCUUGCGCCUUUUCUCUUGGAGACUGUACCUACUCGAGUUGUGGCGGACCCAAAGGCUGCGGGCCGAGCGGACCCGCCUGUUGGCCGUACGGCCUGUACACCUGCUAAACUUUAGAAGGAUUUCAGGAACGUGUGAAAGAUUUCCCCAUGAGGUGUAAUACAGGGUAGAACUCUGUUCUUGGGUGGUGGGGGCUGUGCUAAUUGAAAUUUUCUCAAAUCAAAGUAUCCAGCUUUGGCAAUAAAAAUUUCCCCGUCGCUCGGCAGAUGCGGGUGGGAAAGGACCAGUGC